GAUGAACGCUGGCGGCGUGCCUAAUACAUGCAAGUCGAGCGAACAGACGAGGAGCUUGCUCCUCUGACGUUAGCGGCGGACGGGUGAGUAACACGUGGGUAACCUACCUAUAAGACUGGGAUAACUUCGGGAAACCGGAGCUAAUACCGGAUAAUAUAUUGAACCGGAUGGUUCAAUAGUGAAAGACGGUGUUGCUGUCACUUAUAGAUGGAUCAGCGCCACAUUAGCUAGUUGGUAAGGUAACGGCUUACCAAGGCAACGAUGCGUAGCCGACCUGAGAGGGUGAUCGGCCACACUGGAACUGAGACACGGUCCAGACUCCUACGGGAGGCAGCAGUAGGGAAUCUUCCGCAAUGGGCGAAAGCCUGACGGAGCAACGCCGCGUGAGUGAUGAAGGUCUUCGGAUCGUAAAACUCUGUUAUUCGGGAAGAAACAAUGUGUAAGUAACUAUGCACGUAUUGACGGUACCUAAUCAGAAAGCCACGGCUAACUACGUG
rnacentral:rRNA from 1 species